UACCUCUUACGUCCUCGUUUUGUGAUGUAUCUGGCUGUAAGUGGAGGAAAUUCUGCUGCCGUAGGUUUACAGCGUUGUUGAGCCAAUUUGGCGCUGAUCCGGCACCGGCUCCGGUGAAUGGUAGUAGUCUUUGCAUAUCUCUGCUUUGAUUUAACUGUUGCUCUUCAUUGAAUGGUUGAAAAUUGAUUUCAUGAGAGAGAUGGUCGUGAUGAAAAGCCAUUUGCUUAAUAAAUUAAUCACUUUUUUUUUUUAUGUUUAGGGUUUUUUUUUCUUGUGUGUUUCACAUCUGCUACAUUGAGGGUUGAGAAUUUUGGUGGGAAAAUUGUUGGGUGAGGGAGAGGAGUUAGAGCUAGGUAGGAGAAGUGGUG
rnacentral:lncRNA from 1 species